CGCGUAGGUGGAUAGGUCAGUCAGAUGUGAAAGCCCCGGGCUCAACCUGGGAAUUGCACCUGAUACUGCCUGUCUAGAGUACGGUAGAGGGGUGUGGAAUUUCCUGUGUAGCGGUGAAAUGCGUAGAUAUAGGAAGGAACACCAGUGGCGAAGGCGACACCCUGGACUGCUACUGACACUGAGGUGCGAAAGCGUGGGGAGCAAACA
rnacentral:rRNA from 1 species